rnacentral:tRNA from 1 species
CCCCUGGUGGCUCAGAGGUUAAAGCGUCUGCCUGCAAUGCGGGAGACCUGGGUUCGAUCCCUGGGUUGGGAA